rnacentral:rRNA from 1 species
UACAGAGGGUGCAAGCGUUAAUCGGAAUUACUGGGCGUAAAGCGUGCGUAGACGGUUGCGUAAGUCAGAUGUGAAAGCCCCGGGCUCAACCUGGGAAUUGCAUUUGAGACUGCGUAGCUAGGGUGCGGAAGAGGGAAGCGGAAUUUCCGGUGUAGCGGUGAAAUGCGUAGAUAUCGGAAGGAACACCAGUGGCGAAAGCGGCUUCCUGGUCCAGCACCGACGUUCAGGCACGAAAGCGUGGGGAUCAAACAGG